rnacentral:rRNA from 1 species
UACGUAGGGUGCGAGCGUUAAUCGGAAUACUGGGCGUAAAGCGUGCGCAGGCGGUUCGUUGUGUCGGCGGUGAAAGCCCCGGGCUCAACCUGGGAAUGGCCCGUUGAAACUGGCGAACUGGAGUGUGGCAGAGGGGGGUGGAAUUCCGCGUGUAGCAGUGAAAUGCGUAGAUAUCGAGAGGAACACCGGUGGCGAAGGCGGCCAACUGGACGAACACUGACGCUGAGACUCGAAGCGUGGGAGCAACAG